rnacentral:rRNA from 1 species
UGGGGAAUCUUGGACAAUGGGCGCAAGCCUGAUCCAGCCAUGCCGCGUGAGUGAAGAAGGCCUUCGGGUUGUAAAGCUCUUUUACCAGGGACGAUAAUGACGGUACCUGGAGAAUAAGCCCCGGCAAACUUCGUGCCAGCAGCCGCGGUAAUACGAAGGGGGCUAGCGUUGUUCGGAUUUACUGGGCGUAAAGCGCGUGUAGGCGGGUCGUUAAGUUGGGGGUGAAAUCCCGAGGCUCAACCUCGGAACUGCCUCCAAAACUGGCGACCUGGAGCAAGAUAGAGGCGAGUGGAAUUCCGAGUGUAGAGGUGAAAUUCGUAGAUAUUCGGAGGAACACCAGUGGCGAAGGCGACUCGCUGGAUCUUUGCUGACGCUGAGACGCGAAAGCGUGGGGAGCAAACAGGAUUAGAUACCCCCGUAGUCCCUGAGCGGGCUGGCAAGGCGCAU